rnacentral:rRNA from 1 species
UACGUAGGGUGCAAGCGUUGUCCGGAAUCAUUGGGCGUAAAGCGCGCGUAGGCGGCCCGAUAAGUCCGCUGUAAAAGUCAACGGCUCAACUGUUGAAAGCCGGUGGAUACUGUCGGGCUAGAGUACGGAAGAGGCAAGUGGAAUUCCUGGUGUAGCGGUGGAAUGCGCAGAUAUCAGGAGGAACACCUAUAGCGAAGGCAGCUUGCUGGGACGUUACUGACGCUAAGGCGCGGAAGCGUGGGGAGCGAACAGG